GACGAACGCUGGCGGCAUGCCUAAUACAUGCAAGUCGAGCGAACAGAUGAAGUGCUUGCACUUCUGACGUUAGCGGCGAACGGGUGAGUAACACGUAAGGAAUCUACCUAUAAGCGGGGGAUAACAUUCGGAAACGGGUGCUAAUACCGCAUAAUAUCUUCUUCCGCAUGGAAGAAGAUUGAAAGACGGCUCUGCUGUCACUUAUAGAUGACCUUGCGGUGGAUUAGUUAGUUGGUGGGGUAAUGGCCUACCAAGACGAUGAUGUAUAGCCGACCUGAGAGGGUGAUCGGCCACAUUGGGACUGAGACACGGCCCAAACUCCUACGGGAGGCAGCAGUAGGGAAUCUUCCGCAACGGGCGAAAGCCUGACGGAGCAAUGCCGCGUGAGUGAAGAAGGCCUUCGGGUCGUAAAACUCUGUUAUAAGAGAAGAACAAAUUGUAGAGUAACUGCUACAGUCUUGACGGUAUCUUAUCAGAAAGCCACGGCUAACUACGUGCCAGCAGCCGCGGUAA
rnacentral:rRNA from 1 species